GCACGUGAUUUUAUCAGUGAGUGGCGAACGGGUGAGUAAUACRUAAGUAACCUGCCCUCAUGAGGGGGAUAACUAUUAGAAAUGAUAGCUAAGACCGCAUAGGUGAAGGGGUCGCAUGACCGCUUCAUUAAAUAUCCGUAAGGAUAGCAGGAGGAUGGACUUAUGGCGCAUUAGCUGGUUGGUGAGGUAACGGCUCACCAAGGCGACGAUGCGUAGCCGACCUGAGAGGGUGGACGGCCACACUGGGACUGAGACACGGCCCAGACUCCUACGGGAGGCAGCAGUAGGGAAUUUUCGGCAAUGGGGGAAACCCUGACCGAGCAACGCCGCGUGAGGGAAGAAGUAUUUCGGUAUGUAAACCUCUGUUAUAAAGGAAGAACGGUAUGAAUAGGAAAUGAUUCA
rnacentral:rRNA from 1 species